rnacentral:tRNA from 1 species
GCGGUUGUAGUCUAGUUCAGUAUUUGUCAGCAAAGCUGACAGUGGUAGGAUCUGAGCUUCCCAAGCUCAUGACCCGGGUCCGAAUUCGAUUUCGCACUUUCAGUCCCGCGUUUUAAUGACGGCUUUCCCGGCGACCGCA